rnacentral:tmRNA from 1 species
GGGAGCGACUUGGUUUCGACAAGAAUAAGUCAGCUUAGAUGGCAUGCCGCUUUAGGCAAAGCGUAAAAAGCCUAAAUAAAAUUAAACGCAAACAACGUUAAAUUCGCUCCUGCUUACGCUAAAGCUGCGUAAGUUCAGUUGAGCCCGAGUUUAAGCCAUACUAUCUAGCUUAAUUUUCGGUCAUUUUGAUAGUGUAGCCUUCAUGCUUGACAAGCCUUAGGGUGAAAUUAAAGUCUUAGCCUUGCUUAUAAGCUUUCAAAGAUGAGUAAAGCAAGGUGAAAAAUCUCAUCUUUGUAAGCAUGUAGAGGUCUUUGUGGGCUUAUUUUUGGACAGGGGUUCAAUUCCCCUCGCUUCCACCA